CCUGACUGGUUAAUCUUCCAGAGUAUCUGCAACAUUCUCUUUUUUUCUGGGUACUUGGGGAGAAGGUGGAUUGUGAUAGGUCAGAUAAAAUGGAGGAAAGUUUUGAACAUUAUUGAUUGCUGCUGGAAAUAACUGGGAGGAUCCAGAACAAUGUGAUCAGGCAGCUCUCUGUGGAAUGCCAACACGUCCUCAUUGAUCACAGUUUCAGAACCUCUCUUACAAGAGGACUGAAUAAUCCAAUCAAAAGAAAAACACAGGAAAUAGGAAAGAGCUACAGCAUUCCAUUUUCAUAACAAGAAAAAAAACACAGUAACCCAAGAAUACAAAAAAAACAACACUUCAAUAUGAGCUAAGUAGUUUCCUGCACCUCUCCUGCUGAAUCCAAGGACAGGAAAAGAGCCACUCUCAUUCACAGAAAUAUAACCUUUGAGUCACCCAGCAUUCAGUCAGCUGAGUCAAGCAGAAGAAUCCUAGUUUCAGAAGAAAUUGAAGGGAGACGGAUCCCCCUACUAAGUGAAUGUUUAUAUAUAUACAUAUAUACAUAUAUAUAUAUGUAUACAUAUAUACAUACACACACCCCAAAUGAAAAUUUAUCUCACUGUUUUCAAAGAUACUGAAAAUUAAAGGACAAACACCCAGAGAUAACUAGAUCAUCCUGCUUCAUAAAAGGAAGUCCCGGCUCAAAUAACCAAAGAAGGAUUUCAGAUAAUAUUCUCCCAAACUACAAACUCUGCAGAUGGCUUUCUUGCUCUGGCACUGCUGUAUACAGAGAAAGCUUUUGACAGGGUGAAGUGGACAUAUCUUUUCUAGCUGAUGAAGCACCUGUGAUUCAACUACAAAGUCACAAUGAGGAUUUAAAGCUUUACAUUUGUCCCUCUCUGGAAGGGCAUGUGCAUGUUUCUUCAAGUCUACAGCAGGAAGGACUGAAGAAAAAAAUAGGCAGAAACUCAGCAAUGAAGUAGGAAGAGAAAGUACCUUUAGAGAUAAUACAAUACCACUUUCUUUAGUAUGAUAACAUUCCUUUUUCAGCAUUAGGACAUUUACUCUUUUUGCAAUUCUUUGUCAUUGUCACAGAUUCAUAGAGUUUAAGAUCAGAUGAGUCCAUUAUAUCAUCUAAUAUGACCUCCCAUAUAUCACAGAUCAUUACAUUUCACCCAGUUACCUUUGUAUUGAUAUCAAUCACUUGUGACAUGACACGGUGUCAAAAGUAAACUAAUUUUGAACAGUCAUAAAGAAAAGAAAAAGGCCAAAGUUCAACCCUCUAUGACACUUUCAGUUUAUUAAGCUAUGGAACGGACUAAGUGGAAUCAUCACUUCACCAGAUUUCAUAAUAGUGGCAAAGUACAAGUAAGCUCAAUCAUUUAUGAAAGGAGGAGUAAAGAUGAAAACAUUCAUUAAUCAAUCAAUUGCCUCCACUGAGAAUAGAGUUUUCUAGAAUGAAAUGAGAAAAAUUGAUGACAAAGAGAUAACAAUUAAUCGAGAUGACACCAUGUUAACUGAGGAUACUAAAGCAUUAAAAAAUCAAACUGAUGAUUUAGCAACAUGCAAAUUGUGUGACAGGCAAUAAUUGCUGAAGGUAUCCUGGCAAAGAAAAGUUUUAACAAACGAUUUGAAGGAAGACAAUGAGGUAGCUUUGUGGAUGUUUAUGGAGAGCUCCUCCCAAGCAGAGAGGGACACAGUGCUUGUUUGAAAAUUUAGCAAGUGGACAAUAGAGGUUGGAAUCAUGGGAGCCGGGCAUCAACAUCUCAAUAGUGAAUGACAGAAGGUACUAGGAAUGAAGAUAGGCUGUUAAGGACCUUGAAAAUUAAGACAGGUAGCUCUCAUUUUGAUAUGACAUCAUUGAUAUGACAAAGAAGAAGGAACCAGUGGAGGGAUGCAAACAGAGGGGUGACAUAAUCAGACUCUUCAGUUAACGAAGUUUUUGUGUGCUAUUAAAUAUUCUUACUCUGUUUUUUUUCUGGCCUACUAUAAAAUAUGUAUAAGAGUCAAAGUUUUCAUAGAUUUAUAUUUUUAUGGGGACAUUAUGUUUGAGCUCUAUAUGGUCUAUUAAAUCUUGCUUGACUUGGUGAUGAUUCUUUUUUAUUUGUAAUAAGAAUAUUUAUCAGUGCUGUGUUUUAAAGUACACACUGUCUUCGGCUUGGAU